rnacentral:rRNA from 1 species
CUAGGGGGCGAGCGUUAUCCGGAAUUAUUGGGCGUAAAGCGUGCGUAGGCGGUUUGUUAAGUCAUUUGUAAAAGAUCUCAGCCUAACUGAGUAAGGCGAGUGAAACUGACAGACUUGAAUACGGUAGAGGUAAGUGGAAUUCCAUGUGUAGCGGUGGAAUGCGUAGAUAUAUGGAGGAACACCAAUGGCGAAGGCAACUUACUGGGCCGGAAUUGACGCUGAGGCACGAAAGCGUGGGGAGCAAACAGGAUUAGAUACCCGAGUAGUCC